UUUCUGAGCUAGGGGAACCGUGCGGACGACAGUUGCACGGCUGAGAGUGGGAAAACCCAGACCCUAUGAACCUGACGCAGUUCGCACUGCCGGAGGGAAGCCGCAGCCACAAGCU
rnacentral:ncRNA from 2 species